GACGAACGCUGGCGGCGUGCUUAACACAUGCAAGUCGAACGGUGAAGCGCCUUCCUUUUUGGUGGGUGUGGAUGAGUGGCGAACGGGUGAGUAACACGUGAGUAACCUGCCCCCUUCUUCUGGAUAACCGCAUGAAAGUGUGGCUAAUACGGGAUAUUCUGGGUCUGUCGCAUGAUGGGUCUGGGAAAGAUAUUGUUUCGGUGGGGGGUGGGCUCGCGGCCUAUCAGCUUGUUGGUGGGGUGAUGGCCUACCAAGGCGGUGACGGGUAGCCGGCCUGAGAGGGUGGACGGUCACACUGGGACUGAGACACGGCCCAGACUCCUACGGGAGGCAGCAGUGGGGAAUAUUGCACAAUGGGCGCAAGCCUGAUGCAGCGACGCCGCGUGAGGGAUGGAGGCCUUCGGGUUGUGAACCUCUUUCGCCAGUGAAGCAGGCCUGCCUCGUUUGUGGGUGGGUUGACGGUAGCUGAAGAAGAAGCGCCGGCUAACUACGUG
rnacentral:rRNA from 1 species